rnacentral:rRNA from 1 species
CACGUAGGGUGCGAGUGUUGUCCGGAAUUAUUGGGCGUAAAGAGCUCGUAGGCGGUGUGUCGCGUCGGCCGUGAAAACCUGCAGCUUAACUGUGGGCUUGCGGUCGAUACGGGCAUCACUGGAGUUCGGCAGGGGAGACUGGAAUUCCUGGUGUAGCGGUGAAAUGCGCAGAUAUCAGGAGGAGCACCGGUGGCGAAGGCGGGUCUCUGGGCUGACACUGACGCUCAUGCACGAAAGCGUGGGGAGCAAACAGG